GAUCGACGCCCGAGUCCCGACGCGUCAUUCGAGGACGCUCGGCCUUGCUGUGCGGUUGUGUAACGCGGAGCAUAUGACUGAUCACUGAGGAACGACUUCUGGCCGGCCGCAGUGAAAAUGUCGCAGAAACUACUUGUUGUGUUAUGUUUAUCAUUUUUGCUGUUAACUUUUGUUUCGUCGUCAAUAAUUCAAGACGAUGGCUCACUUCCUGAAGUGCAAGAAUACGAUGUUGUUAUAAAAAGUGUACAAUUCGAAGACUCGCCAGAAUCAAGUGGAUGUCCAAACGGAUAUUUGCUGGAUGUAUCAGGUGUAUGCCGUGAGGUGUGGUGAUUUGAUGACAUAUGAAAAUAUUGUGUUAUUUAUUACGUUGCAAGAAAUAAAUACUUCUUCUAUG